UACGUAGGUGGCAAGCGUUGUCCGGAUUUACUGGGUGUAAAGGGCGUGUAGCCGGGGAGGCAAGUCAGAUGUGAAAACUAUGGGCUCAACCCAUAGCCUGCAUUUGAAACUGCUUUUCUUGAGUAUCGGAGAGGUAAUCGGAAUUCCUAGUGUAGCGGUGAAAUGCGUAGAUAUUAGGAGGAACACCAGUGGCGAAAGCGGAUUACUGGACGACAACUGACGGUGAGGCGCGAAAGCGUGGGGAGCAAAC
rnacentral:rRNA from 1 species